rnacentral:lncRNA from 1 species
AUGAGGAAGAUCCAUAUCACUCUACUGAUUUCACAACUCAAGAUUACAGAAUGUGCAAAUGAUAUGAACUCAGAUAAAGAAUCCCAGAAGGACUUGUUUGCUUAUCAGGCUCAUACAUUUCAGUGUGAUGACUACUUUACAGCAAGGCCUUACUGUACAACACUAAGGUGAUACUCAUGGGCAUAUGCCCCCCAAAGAAAGGCAAUCAUUAUGAAAUACCCAACUUCAAAACUACAAGCUGCCUGAAUUUUAAUUUUUUGUUCUCUUUAAAUAAACUGCCACAGUGUUUAAUUAUCUUUUCUAGC